rnacentral:piRNA from 1 species
UCCUUAUCUUCUUCAGACAAGUUUUUCAGC